CUCUGAAUAAUUAAUUCAUUGGUGAGUCACUUUUCUCUAAAUGGAUAUUUGUUGUGGGAUUCUACUUAACUCUGCUGGAAGAUUGCGGUAAUCAGAAAUUUUCCAUUAUAGUAACGGUGGAGAUGAGUCCUGGCGUUCCACAUUGUCUGAGUUCAGGAGGCUAAAAGCCUACAGUGAUUAUCAUGUCUUUGGAAGUGAGGUUUCUGUGGUACAGGUAAAAACCUCAGGAUUUUCGUGGUUAGAAGAUAUUAAGUGACAAAGGAAGGUAUUACUUUAAGUCAUCUCUAAUUAGGUGCUUUGGUUUAACACACCCAGUCAAGGAUAUUUUGAGCUGAAGCUUAAAAAAACCCAAGCUGCCUCUUUAUAAGUCACCAUUAAUGCGUAGAUGAAAGGUAUUUUGAACUU
rnacentral:lncRNA from 1 species